rnacentral:rRNA from 1 species
CCAUUUAAAGUGGUACGCGAGCUGGGUUUAGAACGUCGUGAGACAGUUCGGUCCCUAUCUGCCGUGGGCGCUGGAGAAUUGAGGGGGGCUGCUCCUAGUACGAGAGGACCGGAGGGGACGCAUCACUGGUGUUCGGGUUGUCAUGCCAAUGGCACUGCCCGGUAGCUAAAUGCGGAAGAGAUAAGUGCUGAAAGCAUCUAAGCACGAAACUUGCCCCGAGAUGAGUUCUCCCUGAGACUUUAAGUCUCCUGAAGGAACGUUAAAGACGAUGACGUUGAUAGGCCGGGUGUGUAAGCGCAGCGAUGCGUUGAGCUAACCGGUACUAAUGAACCGUGAGGCUUAACCUUACAACGCCGAAG